rnacentral:rRNA from 1 species
UACAGAGGUCUCAAGCGUUGUUCGGAUUCAUUGGGCGUAAAGGGUGCGUAGGUGGCGUCGUAAGUCGGGUGUGAAAUUUCGGAGCUUAACUCCGAAACUGCAUUCGAUACUGCGGUGCUUGAGGACUGGGGAGGAGACUGGGAAUUUACGGUGUAGCAGUGAAAUGCGUAGAGAUCGUAAGGAACACCAGUGGCGAAGGCGGCUCUCUGGACAGGAACUGACGCUGAGACGCGAAAGCGUGGGUAGCAAACAGG